UGGGGAAUCUUGCGCAAUGGGCGAAAGCCUGACGCAGCGACGCCGCGUGAGUGAUGAAGGCCUUCGGGUUGUAAAGCUCUGUGGGGAGAGAAGAAUAAGUGCGGGCUAAUACUCCGCAUGAUGACGGUAUCUCCUUAGCAAGCACCGGCUAACUCUGUGCCAGCAGCCGCGGUAAGACAGAGGGUGCAAACGUUGUUCGGAAUUACUGGGCGUAAAGCGAGUGUAGGCGGUUUGGUAAGUCGGAUGUGAAAGCCCCGGGCUCAACCCGGGAAGUGCACUCGAUACUGCCAAGCUAGAGUAUCGGAGAGGUUGGUGGAAUUCUCGGUGUAGAGGUGAAAUUCGUAGAUAUCGAGAGGAACACCGGUGGCGAAGGCGGCCAACUGGACGAAUACUGACGCUGAGACUCGAAAGCGUGGGGAGCAAACAGGAUUAGAUACCCCAGUAGUCCCUGAGCGGGCUGGCAAGGCGCAU
rnacentral:rRNA from 1 species